rnacentral:rRNA from 1 species
UACGUAGGGGGCGAGCGUUGUCCGGAGUUACUGGGCGUAAAGCGCACGCAGGCGGUCUGCUAAGUUUGGAGUGACAGUUGGUGGCUUAACUGCCAAAGUGCUUCGAAAACUGACAGACUUGAGGGCUUCAGAGGGACACGGAAUUCCGGGUGGAGUGGUGAAAUGCGUAGAGAUCCGGAGGAACACCAAAGGCGAAGGCAGUGUCCUGGGGAGUACCUGGACGCUCGAGGUGCGAAAGCCAGGGGAGCGAACGGG